AGUCUAUGGUUAGGACAGUUCUUGACUAAUCCCUUGAAGCGUUCCCAUGCGGCACUCAAAGUCUCAAAUUCUCCUUGUUCAAAGUUCAUAAUUUCUCUACGCCU